CUCUUCUGAUAUUGAAUCUUGCAUCCUCUUUAUCACUAAACCCUGCAAUCAUUCAAAUCAAAUUACAUUUUACAAUCAUAAGAUAAUUGCACAUAAUUUUUUAUAUAUUAUGAACUAUUGGUGGGGCCUAGGUCAAAAUUAUUCUUUAUUUUAUACUUCAAUCAAAUCCUGUGGGCUCAUAUCAGAGAGAAAACCAGAAUGGAAUGGUUGGUUGGUUAAGAAAAGUUUUGGUAUUUUUUAAGGCCAACAAAUCAGGUGACAGCACUCCAUUGUUAGUUCUUGUCAACAUAAUUAACAAUAGAAAACAAUACUUUCCCAGAAGCUCAAACCAGUUAACAUCAACUUCAAAACAAUAUCUGGGAAUGUGUACUGUUCCCAACUGUCUAUAUAAAUAGCAGUUUUGAGUUUUUAAACUACCAAGGUGUUUCAAAUCAGCAUUAACUCUCUUAAAAUUUCAACUCUCAACAUGGUUUUGAUAAAUCAAACAGUUCACAUUAUUUCAAAAGAAGUUAUCUUUUAGCAAAGAAAAAUACGGUAGUGGAUGAAAGAUGACAUCUAUAUUUACCUUACACAUGUUUGGAGGACACAAACUGCAGCCAUGAGGAGAUCUGUUGAAAUCAUGGCAAGGUAGAAUCCUUAACCUUCCUUCUUCAUUCACAUAACCGGGGUUAGUAUUGAUCUCUGAGAAAUAUUCCCUUAUUCCUAAGUGCUUCAAAAUUGACUCAAUGAAAAACAAGUUUGCGUCACUCACAAUCCUCAAAUCACACCUGGAAAAACAAAUGCCACCAUAAAUUUAAUCCACAAAAUCACAUUAAAAAAAAGUAACAAAAUUUGCAUGCAUAGUUACAUACCCUGAAGCAUGAGCUGCUUUAACAGCGGGUAUUACCCUGGGGUGCAAGGGAAUCUUAUGCAGAACCUCUUCAAUGUCCUUAAUGGUUUUACCCUGUGAGUGAAGCUCCAUCAUCAUCUUGUCCUAUAAAUCCAAAACCAAAACAAACAAAAAAUAACAAACGGUUAUUCAUACCAUUAACACAAAAUCUAAAAAAAAAAUAUACAAAAAAGGAAGAAAAAAACUAAUUCUUAGAUAUAUUUUAACUGUUCUUGGUUACAUUGCCGCAUUAUUUGUUAAUCUUUAAUGCAAAAAUAAUUUAACCAAAAUUAGAAAAUGAAACUUUAAUGGCAAAGAACACUUAGCAAACAGGCAUGUAAAGUUUGUUCCUAAAGAAAGUGACUACAAAGGCUUACCAUGAGAGUGUUCCAAGGCAUUGUGGGAAGGAGUUGGUUGAACAAAUCUGUGAAACCCAACUCGUCGAUGACCCAGUUGUCGCUGUCGACAUCCACAAUGGUCUUGUCAAAGUCGAAAACAACCACAAUUUCAGACAUGUUUGUUUUGGUGAAUGCAGAAACUCUGAACGGCCCAGAAGAAGAAACCUUCUUCUCAAGAACAAGGCUCUCUUUGGGUGUCUGGUGGUGCUCUCAAGAUCUGCUCUUGGCUUGGAUUGCACCCUGAAAGAGAAUGAAAAGGGUAUUUGUAGUGAAUGUGGGUUAAGAAAACCCCAAAAAAAUGAAUCUUUGAUUCCAAAGGAAUAUUACCUUGCAUAUGGAUUGUUCCUGGAAGAGAAGAAGGUGACCAAGGAAAAAGUUUCAUUUUUAGCCUCAGAAAUUUCUAGCUGUGACAUUUCAAAUUCAAUCUAAGCCGUUGGUUUUGAAGAAUAUUAGGUGGGAAAAAAAUCAGAGGGUUUGGAGAUUGAGCAUAAAUAUGGGAAUAUUCCAUUAGGGAAUUUGAUGCCUUUGAUGUGACUAUGAAACGCGCUACUCCACCAACAAGUUUACAGGUGCAACCCAUCAGAAUAUUUUGGGUAUAGUCCCUUCCCUUCCACAAACAUUUAACUCAUGCAAUCCAUUUUUAUCAAAAUUUCAUUUAUUACAAUCUUAAGUGUAAUAAUGUUCAUUGAAAAUAAAAUAUAUUCUAUAUUAUUAAAUAAAUUAGCAACAUAGUGUGUGUUCAUUAAAUGUCUUCUAUUGUGUGUCUUUCUAGCAUUGUAAUUAUUGUUAGAACACACUUAAUUUGGAGUAAAUAAAUGUGAUUUGGUGAAAAAAAUAGUAUUUACUUUAUGAAAAAAAAAAUUAAAAAAUUAAUUUAUUUACUUUUUACAAAAAAUUAUCCUUUUUAAAAAAAUUAUUUUAUUUCAAUAUCUAAAAUAGUUAUAAUUUCAAUAUAUUCUUUUCAUUUUUUUCGAUUAUAAAUAACCAGCACGUUAUUAUAUUAAGACGGACUAUAGGGGUGAAGGGGAGUCACCUUUUUCUCUUCAAAAUUAUAAUAUAGAUUUUUCUAAAAUAAAAAUUAUUUUUUACGUGUUAAAUUUAAACAAUUUUUUACAUGAAUUAUAUGACUUCUAUAUUAUAGUAUAGCGCAUUUUAUUAUUAGUUUAAAUAUUAAUUCAGACUAUUUACACUCUUGAGAAAAUAUUUAAUCUACAACUUUUUAUAUCCAUACUGUUUAUUCUUAAUUUUAAAAGUUUUAUUCCUUUUAUUAUUACAUUAAAAGAAUAUAUUAUCAAUAAAAGAUCAAAUUUUUUAAAUAAGAUUUCAAAGUAAUUAAAAAAAAACUGAAAAUAUCACUAUUACCUAGGAUGAAUGUUGCAAACACCCCAUAAAAUAUAAACUACGCACACAAUAUACAUUUUUUAUAUUAUCAUAAACUAUAGCAUAGGAGUCUAAUAUAAUAAAUAUAUUUAACUAAAUCAUAUUGAAAUAUAUAAAAUCUAACCGAAGUUCAUAGAAAAUCUUAGAUAUCUCUAUGGAAUAGUAAUGAAAUAACCAUUAAAAAAAUGACUCAAUUAAAAAUUAAAUCAACUUAAAACUAAGCAUAAAUCAUAUAUACUAUAGUUUACUCUAAAGAAUCUAUUUCAUAUCAGUUGUCAUGCAGAAUAAAUUUAUAAUGAAUUUAAGUAUAAAUAAACAGUAGAUAUAUAAGUAUUCUGUUAUUAUCUCAUACUUUUGUCUCCAUAAGUUUUUGAAGAAGAAUAGUAAAAAGAAGAAAAGAAGACUCAGUAAAAAUUCAAUGAAAUCACAAAAAAAAAAUAGAGAGAGACAAAAAAAAAUGGUGGUAUGAUAUUGAUCCAAAAUUAAAGUUGAAGCAAAACAUCAAUAACCAAAGUGUUGUUUGGUAUGUCUGCGGAACACCACCAAGAUUUCUUGUCAAUCAAGAUUAGUCAAAUGUUAUCCAAUGUUCAGAGAAAAAAAAAAAUUCCCAAAGAUGUAUAGAAAACAUGUAUUGGUAUUUGAUAGAAAUUAUAGUGGUCCACAACUUAAGACCAAUUCCAACAUUUAACAUUUGCAACUUUAUUAUAGUAUAAGUUUGGUGAAGGUUAAUUGGGAAAAAAGCUUAAAAGUUACUAUGAUACAUUCUAAACUAAGAACUGGUUAUGGGCGAAGUGGUAGGGCUUUGGGCAAAGCCUCCAAAACAGAGAGUGACAGAGUCUGAAGCUUGCAAUCAGAGGUAAUGAAGGGAGAUUUGUGCUCCAUUGACACUUUGCUGAUCAAUUGCAGCAAUACUUGUUCAAGUUCUUCUCCAUCACUCCAUCCAUGAAUCUCAGCCUUAACAACUGAAGGGUCUUUGCAUAUCAAGUCCCACACUGGAAAGUUCUUCCUUGGCAUCAUAAAGUCCUUCUCUUUCAGCCUCAAACUUGGGCAAUAGUCUCCACUCCCAUCUCCAAGGUAGAUCAACCUCUUAUCCUCUUCUGAUAUUGAAUCUUGCAUCCUCUUUAUCACCAAACCCUGCAAUCAUUCAAAUAAAAUAACAUUUUACAAUCAAAAGAUAAUUAUACAUAAUUUUUUAUUUAUUAUGAACUAUUGGUGGGGCCUAGGUCAAAAUUGUUCUUUAUUUUAUAUUUCAAUCAAAUCCAGUAGGCUCGUAUCAGAGAGAAAACAAGGAUGGCAUGUUUGGUGGUUAAGAAAAUAUUUGGUAUUUUUUAAGGCCAAGAAUUCAGGAGACAAGUUCCAUUAUAGGAUCAAUUCAUGACUCAUAAACACUUGAGCCACGUUAGGAGCAAUCUUUGUGAUUAAAAAUGGAAAAAAUAGUGUUCCAUCAGCUAGAGCCAGUUAAGAACAACUUGAAAACAAUAUCUAGAAACGUGUAUUGUUGCCAACUGUUGUAUACAUUUAAGAAACUUUUCAUCAUGAUUUAGACAAAUGACAAAACAAGAUAGAAAAAGGAAGUUGUGUAUUUACCUUGCACAUGUUUGGAGGGCACAAAGUGCAGCCAUGGGAAGCUUUGUUGAAAUCAUGGUAAGGAAGAAUCCUUAACCUCCCUUCUUCAUUCACAUAACCGGGGUUAGUAUUGAUCUCUGAGAAAUAUUCCCUUAUUCCCAAAUGCUUCAAAAUAGUCUCAAUGAAAUACGUGUUUGCAUCACUCAGAAUCCUCAAAUCACACCUGAAAAACAAAUGCCACCGUAAAUUUAAUCCACGAAUCAUAUUUACCAAAAAAAUAAAUAAAAGAAGAUGAUCAUAAUUUUGUAUGAGAGAUGCAGAGUUACGUACCCUAAAGCAUGAGCUGCUUUAAUAGCAGGAAUAACUCUGGGGUGCAAGGGAAUCUUAUGCAGAACCUCUUCAAUGUCCUUCAUGCUUUUACCAUGUGAAUGAAGCUCCUUCAUCAUUGUGUCCUUUAAAAAACCAAAAAAAACAAAAAAACUCGGUUAUUCAUGUCAUUCAAAUCAUGCAUUCUGCAAAGUUCAGUUUAAACAAAACAGAGUAUAAACCCAAAAAAUGUGGCAACAAAAAGGCUUACCAUGAGAGUGUUCCAAGGCAUGGUGGGAAGAAGCUGGUUGAACAAAUCGGUGAAACCCAAUUCAUCGACGACCCAGUUGUCGCUGUCGACAUCCACAAUGGUUUUGUCGAAGUCGAAAACAACCACGAUUCCAGACAUUAUCUGUUUUGGGGAAUGAAAAAAAGAAACCUUCUUUCUGAAGAAUAAGGCUCUGUUUGGGUGUGUGUAUAGUGCUCUGAAGAUUGGUGGUUCUUGGCUUGGUUCUACAAUGGAAAGAAAAAGGGUUAUUUAUAGUAAUGGUGAAUGAAUGAAGAAAAAAAGAAUCUUAGAUUCCAAAGGAAUAUUACACGGAUACUUCGUGGUAGCAAAGAUGGAGGCUCAAAAUUAAAAACACAAAUGUGGCCGUUUUAUUUUACACUCAUCCAAAACCUUUCGGUGCGUUUAAAAUUCAAUCUAGACCGUUGGAUGAAAUCAUAUAGGUAGGCGAAAGGAUCGGAGGGCGUAGGUGGAUUGGACCUAAGAGUAAAACACGGGAAUAUUGACAGGGAAUUGGAUGCACUUGAGGAGCCUCACCUGAGUGUGUGAAAUCCACUUCUCACAAACGCAUGAGAAUAUUCUGAGUAUAGUCCGUUCAGUUAAUUUCGCCAAUUUCAUUUUUUUUUCUGUUAUGAAUUAAUAAAUAUUGGAUUUUAGAAUCAAUAUUUACCUCUAUAUAGAUAAAUUCUUUUUAGAUUUAUAAUAAAUUAAAAUAAUGUAAUAUAUUGUAAUCAAAUGGUUUUGAUUGAUGAUGUCUUUUGAAAAAUUAUAGAAUAUUACUCAAAAAUUCAAGAUGAUAAAAAAGUAAAUUGGUAGAGAUAACCAAUUCAGAAAAUAAGUAUCAUGAUAAAAAUAAAAAAUAAAAGUGUGAUUUGAAAGGAUUUUUUUAAUAUUGUUUUUAUAUUAAAGUAAAAAGAAAUAGAUAAAGUUAGUUUUUAUUUAUAUAUUGUUAAGACUAUUAUGAUUUGAUAAAUUAUUGAUGUCUAUCAUUCUCAUCACAUAUUAGUUAGACAUAAAUUAACCAAUAUUGAUAGAGUAUCUUUUUUAUGUAUGUGAACUCAAUUUUUCAAUUUAUAUAUUUUUCAAAAUUUCUAUAGUGAUUUUUUAUCAUCUGACACCAAUUUUUUUUAAUAAUUUAUUAAUUUUUUUGUUUCAAUGUGAAAUGAAAAGCAAUUAUAUUAAUAUUAACGAAAUUUUUUACCAAUAUUAAAUGAAAGAAAUUUUCAAUUGAUAUUAAUUGAAUAGUCAUAAGAAAAAUUAUUUAAAAAAUUAUAAAAAUCAUUUUGAUGUUAAUCUAAAUAAUUGUAGAAAACCCACAAAAUUAAGAAGAAACUUUAUCAAUGUUAUUAGAAAUUUAUUAUAAAUUAUUUUAUAUUUAAAUAAUUUUAUAUAAAUACUAAUUUAAAUAUUUUAUACAAAAUUAAUAAAUUUAAAUUACCUUGUUGAGAUAAACGUUUAAACAAUGAGAUCAAUUUAAAUUUUAUAUAUUUAAUUUUUUAAAAUUAUAAUAUUACUUAUCCAAACAAAGAUUAUGAUAUUUUUUUAAUAUACUUUGAUUUAUUAAAUAUGUUGUUACGUUUGGAGUUAUUUUUAACAUAUUAAUGAUAUUUAUUUGAUAUUCAAAUAUAUUAUUUAUACUUAUUCAACUAACAACAUUUAAAUCAUACUCUUCAAAUGACUUUACCAAAUUUUCAUUUUUUAUUCGUUCUCCUAAACUUACAUAAAAAGAUAAAUAUUGUGUAAAUAAUCUUUUAUCUAAUUAACUAUUAAAGUUUUAGCUACUAAUUGUUUUAUAUUCGAAAGUUGAUAAUUAAAAUCUUAAUAGUUAAUUAAAUAUUAAUUUAAAAAAUUAAUUUAUUAAUUUUAUUAAUAAUAGAAAUUACUUUUGAUAUUAAUAACUUUUUUAGUCUUUAAAAUAAUAUAUAAUUUAAUCACUAGUGAUUGAUUAUUUAUUAUUUCUAAAAUUAGUUUCUAUUUAUUAAUUUUUUUUAGUAAAAGUUAUAUAUUUUAAAAAAAAACUUUAAAUUUAAAUUAAUCAUACAAAAUCAAUUCAAUUUGUAAGGUGAGAUUUAACUCCACUGCUUUUUCUAACAUAAAUAAUAUAUAAAUUUCACAUUAAUAACUUAUUAACAAAUUUAUAUAAAAGAAUAAUAUUUAAUAUAAAAUAUUAAGAUGAUAGAGUUAUAAUUUUCUACUUGCAUAUUAUUUAUUUUACAAAAUUUUAAUAAAAGGAACUAACACUAAAGGAAAAAAUGGUUUUAACGGGGUAUUUAUUUUUAUAUUAUUCAUGAUUAAAAUCUCUAUUAAGUCAUUUACCUAGUGUUGCAGUUUUCUCGUUAAACCAUCCCUCAGCAAGGUGUUUUCUGGGUUUUUUUAAACCUCAGGACAAAUCUUUCAAAACUCUUAUUAAAUAUCAUGGGUUUAGAAACCUCCGUAAAAUACCAGGGGUUUCAAAAACCUUUGUUAAAUACCAUGGGUUUAAAAUUUUUUGUAAAAUAUCAUGGGUUUCAAAACCUCUGGUAAAUACCAUGAGUUUAAGAACUUUCAUAAAAUACCACGAGUUUCAAAAUUUUCGUAAAAUGACUUGUCGUCUGAAAUAACCUUCAACCUUAUUUUUCACCAUCUCUAACGAUCCUCCUGACUUCUUUAUUCCAUCAUAGACACACUUGUCCCCGACACAAGCUCAAUAGCCACCAACGACAGUCCUAGCAAGGAAUCAUAAUUUAGUCACACCUAUGUCUAUUAUACCUAAGGAAAAAUAAGGCACUAUCAUUGUUUCUUCCAUCACCUUACUACCUCAACUUGGGUCACAAGUCAUUCUUACCUAGCUCGACAACAGUUGAUGUUUAUCACUGCUUUAUAUAUCCUAAAUAAUUGUAUUAUCUGUUAGAUGUGGACUUCAAAGUCAUGUGUGUAAAAUAAAUUUUUGAAAACUUAGAAAACUUAUUGUAUUGUAAAGUUAUGCUUUUAAAAUUUUAGAAAAUUUAGUUAUAAAAUAUAUUGAAACUAUAUAGUUUUUAAUGGUUUAUUUAUAAAUAGAUUUAAUUAUACUUAUUUAUUAAAGUUUGAAAAAUCUGGAGCAUUUUAUUGAAGUUCUACCAUAAAUCUUUGAAAUUUAACAAAGGUUAAAAAAACUUUCAUUGUCUUGUUGAGAUUUUAGAAUAAAUCUUUAGAACUUAACGAAGGUUAAAAAAAUCUCCGUUAUUUUGCUGAAAUUUUAGAAUAACCUUGGAACUUAAUGAAUUAUUACAAAGUGGAAUUUAAACUUAACUCAACUCCAUAAAAUCAGCUCAUGAAGUGAGGUUUGCACCCACUUAUAUAUAAUGAAAUGCCUUAAUCUAUAGUCGAUGAGGGAUCUUCAACUUAAAUGUUAAAAAACUUUCAUAAUUAAAUUAAUUUCUAAAAUUAAAUUAAGUUACUCUCAAUAAUCUCUGUUAAAACUUUUUUUUUAAGUGUAAUAGAUCACAUAUUCACAUGAAACAUGUCUAAAUCAGAUGCAAUGACAAAGGAGGUCUUGUUAAUGUCCGAAACACUUGUUAUAAUUAACAUUUGAGUAUUAUUAUUAUUAACAUGUGUUUGAUUGUGGUGUGAUCAUAUUGAUGCAUUAAUUAAAGUUUUAUUAUUAUUAUUAUUAUCUUCUUGGCGAGUUCUUAUAUCAUCAGAGUAUAAGAAAUGGUUUUGACCUACUAAUGGAAAAUUAUGAUUCUGCCACCAUUUUUGGUCGAGUUUUUUAAUCCUCUGAUUCUAUAUCUGAGGUUACAUUACCAUUAGCUGGAGAUGACCAAACAAGGGUCCCAACAUGCAUGCAUGUUGUUUUUCAACGCCAUUAAUGCUAGUGUUUCUUAAGUAUUCUUUAGUAUGUCAGCGGAACACCAAGAUUUCUGGUCAAUAAGAUUCUAGUCAAAUGUUUUCCACAGUAAAACAAAACAAUGUUCAGAGCAUAAAAUAUUCCCAAAAGAUGUAUAGAAAACAUGUAUUGGUAUUUGAUAGAAAUUAUAGUGGUCCACAACUUAAGACCAAUUCCAACAUUAACAUUGGCAACUUUAUUAUAGUAUAGCUUUGGUGAAGGUUAAUUGGAAAAAAAGCUUUAAAGUUAUUAUGAUACAUUUUUUUCAAAUACACUAAACUAAGAAGUGGUUAUGGGCGAAGUGGUAGGCCUUUGGGCAAAGCCUCCAAAACGGAGGCUGACAGAGUCUGAAGCUUGCAGUCAGAGGAAACGAAGGGAGAAUUGUGCUCCAUUGAUAUUUUGUUGAUCAAUUGCAGCAAAACCUGUUCAAGUUCUUCUGCAUCACUCCAUCCAUGAAUCUCAGCCUUAACAACUGAAGGGUCUUUGCAUAUCAAGUCCCACACUGGAAAGUUCUUCCUUGGCAUCAUAAAGUCCUUCUCUUUCAGCCUCAAACUUGGGCAAUAGUCUCCACUCCCAUCUCCAAGGUAGAUCAUCCUCUUAUCCUCUUCUGAUAUUGAAUCUUGGAUUCUCUUUAUCACUAAACCCUGCAAUCAUUCAAAUAAAAUUACAUUUUACAAUCAUAAGUAUCGGUGGGACCUAGGUCAAAAUUAUUCUUUAUUUUAUAUUUCAAUCAAAUCCAGUAUGCUCAUAUCAGAGAGCAAACAAUAAAUUUUGGUAUUUUUUAAGGCCAAGAAUUAAGGAGACAAGUUCCAUUGCUAUAGGAUUAAUCCAUGACUCAUGAACACUUGAGUCACGUUAGCAGCAAUCUUUGUGAUUAAAAAUGGAAAUAAUAGUGUCUCGUCAGCUAGAGCCAGUUAAGAUCAACUUGAAAACAAUAUCUAGAAACGUGUACUGUUGUAUACAUUUAAGCAAAUUUGUCAUCAUGAUUUAGACAAAUGAUAAAACAAGAUAGAAAAAGAAGUUGUGUAUUUACCUUGCACAUGUUUGGAGGGCACAAAGUGCAGCCAUGGGAAGCUUUGUUGAAGUCAUGGUAAGGAAGAAUCCUUAACCUUCCUUCUUCAUUCACAUAACCGGGGUUAGUAUUCAUCUCUGAGAAAUAUUCCCUUAUUCCCAAAUGCUUCAAAAUAGUCUCAAUGAAAUACGUGUUUGCAUCACUCACAAUCCUCAAAUCACACCUGAAAAAACAAAUGUCACCGUAAAUUUAAUCCAUAUUUACCAAAAAAGAACGUGAUCAUAAUUUUGUAUGAGAGAUGCAUAGUUACGUACCCUAAAGCAUGAGCUACUUUAAUAGCAGGAAUAACUCUGGGGUGCAAGGGAAUCUUAUGCAGAACCUCUUCAAUGUCCUUCAUGCUUUUACCAUGUGAAUGAAGCUCCUUCAUCAUUGUGUCCUUCAAAAACCAAAAACCAAAAAACUCGGUUAUUCAUAUCAUUCAAACCAUGCAUUCUGCAAAGUUAAGUUUAAACAAAAGAGAGUAUAAACCCAAAAAAUGUGACAACAAAAAGGCUUACCAUGAGAGUGUUCCAAGGCAUGGUGGGAAGAAGCUGGUUGAACAAAUCCGUGAAACCCAAUUCGUCGACCACCCAGUUGUCGCUGUCGACAUCCACAAUGGUUUUGUCGAAGUCGAAAACAACCACGAUUCCAGACAUUAUCUGUUUUGGUGAAUGGAAAAAAGAAAGCUUUUUUCUGAAUAAUAAGGCUCUGUUUGGGUGAGUGUACAGUGCUUUCAAGAGUGGUGGUUCUUGGCUUGGUUCUGCAAUGGAAAGAAAAGAGGGUUAUAUUUAUAGUAAUGGUGAAUGAAUAAAGAUUAAAAGAAUCUUAGAUUUCAAAGGAAUAUUACACGGAUAGUUCGUGGUAGCAAAGAUGGAGGCUCAAAAUAAAAACAGAAAUAUUGCGCUUUUAUUUUACCUUCACCGAAUCCCUUUCGGUGCGCCAUAUUUAAAAUUAAAUCUGCACCGUUGGAUGAAAUCAUAUAGAUAGGUGAAAGGAUCGGAGGGUGUGGGUGGAUUGGUCCUAAGAGUAAAACACGGGAAUAAAGGGCAUAUUCGACAGGGAAUUGGAUGCACUUGAGGAGCCUCACCUGAGUGUGUGAAAUCACUUCUUACCAACGCAUACAAUAAUACAUCGCAUGAAUAUUCUGUAUUCAGUUAAUUUCGUCAAUUUCUUUUUUUUUCUGUUAUGAAUUAAUAAUAAAUUAAAAUAAUGUAAUAUAUUGUAAUCAAAUGGUUUUUAUUGAUGAUGUCUUUUGAAAAAUGAUAGAAUAUUACUCGAAAAUUCAAGAUGAUAAAAGUAAAUUGAUAGAGAUAACCAAUUCAGAAAAUAAGUAUCAUGAUGAAAAUAAAAAAUAAAAGUGUGAUUUGGAAGGAUUUUUUUUUAUAUAGUUUUUAUAUUAAAGUAAAAACAAAUAGAUAUAAGUUAGUUUGAUUUGAUAGUAAAUUAUUGAUAUCUAUCAUUCUCAUCACAUAUCAGUUAGACUUAUAUCAACCAAUAUUGAUAGAGUAUCUUUUUAUGUAUGUGAACUCAUUUUUUCAAUUAGCAUUUUUUUUAAAAUUUCUAUAGUGAUAUUUUCUAUCAUCUAACACCAAUUUUUUUUAAUAAUUUAUUAAUUUUUUAUUUCAAUGUGAAAUGAAAAAAAAAAUUAUAUUAAUAGUAACUAUUUUUUUUACCAAUAUUAAAUGAAAGAAAUUUUCAAUUGAUAUUAAUUAAAUAGUUAUAAAAAAUUAUUUAAAAUAUUAUAAAAAUAAUUUUGAUAUUAAUCUAAAUAAUUGUAGAAAACUCAAAAAUUAUGAAGAAACUUUAUCAAUGUUAUUAGAAAUUUGUUUGAAAAUUUAUUACAAAAUUAAUAUUAAUCAAGAUCAACUCAAAAAUUAUUAUAAAUGAUUUAAUAUUUAAAUAAUUUUAUAUUAAUACUAAUUUAAAUAUUUUAUACAAAAUAAUAAUAAAUUUAAAUUACCUUAUUGUGAUAAACGUUUAAAAAAUGAGGUCAAUUUAAAUUUUAUAUAUUUGAUUUUUUUAAAUUAUAAAAUUACUUAUCCAAACAAAGAUUAUGAUAUUUUUUUAAUAUACUUUGAUUUAUUAAAUAUGUUAUGUUGUUACGUUUGGAGUUAUUUUUAACAUAUUAAUGAUAUUUAUUUGAUAUUUAAAUAUAUUAUUUAUACUUAUCCAACUAACAACAUUCAAAUCAUACUCUUCAAAUGAUUCAAGUAAAUUUUUAUUUUUUAUUCGUUCUCCUAAACUUACAUAAAAAGAUAAAUAUCGUGUAAACAAUCUGUUAUUGUUAUGGAAAAAUAAAAGGUAAUUAUUGGUUAAUUAAUUAGGUUAUAGUAAAUAACUAAUUAGUUAAUAUUUUUUUAUGUAAAAUGUUUAUAUUAAGAAGUCAACUUAAUCUUAUAAAAUUUAUGAAAAUUUUGAUAUCUUUAUGUCAUCAUACUUUAGUCCCUCCUAUGCUUUUUUGGAAAAAGAAAAUGUAAGAGAUAAACUAUAUAUUUUUAAAAUUAAUUUUUAUUUAACGAUUUUUUUAAAUGAAAUUAUAUAUUUAAAAAAAAAUAAACUUUAAAUUUAAAGCAAUCAUUAAAAAUCAAUUCAAUUUGUCCCCACUACUUUUUUUUAACAUAAAUAAUAAAAAAAAUUCACAUUAAUAAGUGAUUAACAAAUUUAUAUAAAAGAACAAUAUUUAAUAUAAAAUAUUAAGAUGAUAGAUUUAUAAUUUUCUACUUGUAUAUUAUUUAUUUUACAAAUUUUUAAUAACAGGUAAUGAACUAAUAAAUAUAGAUUGACGUGAAACAUCUGUCUAAUCAGAAACAAUGACAAAGGAGGUUCUUGUUAUAAUUAACAUUUGAUUAUUAUUUUUAUCAUUAGCAUGUGUUUGAUUGUGGUGUGAUCCAAUAUUGAUGUAUUAAUUAAAGUUUUAUUAUUAUUAUUAUUAUUAUUAUUAUUAUUAUUAUUAUUAUUAUUAUUAUUAUUAUUAUUAUUAUUAUUAUUAUUAUUAUUAUUAUUAUUAUUAUUAUUAUUAUUAUUAUUAUUAUUAUUAUUAUGAUUCUGCCACCUUUUUUGGUUCAGUUUUUUAAUCCUCUCAUUCUAAAUCAGAGGUUACAUAAGAACAUGCAUGCAUGUUGUUUUUCUACGCCAUUAAUGCUAGUGCUUCUUUGCAUCACCAUUUUUAUUAAAUUUUUAACUCAAUGCUCUAUGAUUAGAUAUUUUUUAUUUUUUUUAUCUUCUUCCAACUUUCACCACUUCAACCAAUCAACUCAAUUUCAGAUUAAUGGCAUACACAUCUUUUAUUCUAAAAUUAAAUUAUGAAUAAAGUUUCUUUCGGAUAGAUUAAUUGAAUGUUUACUGCAUAAGCAAUCAUAAUUCUUAUCUUAUAAGUUAAUCUUUUAAAAAUAAAUUUUUAAUAUGAUAUAUAAACUUAUUCUGGUCAAAUUUGUUGCACUUAUAUAUCAUUUGUUAUACUUCACAAAUAUUUAAUUUUACAUAAUAUAUAUAUAUAUACAUAUAUAUAUAUAUGUAUAUAUAUUAAUUAAUGUGAGAUGAGAAUGUAGAAAAUUUUACGAUAACUAAAAAUUAAGUCAAUAUUUAUAUUAUAUAUAUAAGUGGGGUUUUUAAAAUACAAACUAAGUUAAAUUUAAAUCUAAACUUAAUUAUUAAAAUAUGAAUUGAAUUUGUAAUUCAUUAUUAGUAUUAAAGAUUAUUUAUGUGAAAGUAAAAAAAUAUUAAGUUAAAUAUGUUUUUUUUGGUUUUUAAGUAUAUAUAACAAAAAUUCAAUUGUCAUUAAAAAAAAUUGAUAAUAACUCAUUUUAAUAGUUUUCUUACUACAAAUAUUUAUUAUAUCUAAAUUUUGAAUUAGAGAUAAAAAUCAAUCUCAUAUAAAAAUUUUAGGAAUGAAAAACAUAUUUAAUCCAAAAUCUUCUAAAAUGUGGUAUUGUAAUUGUUCCAGACAAAAGAGGUGAAGGUAUAGGCGACCUUAAGCCCAUAACACUUAACAUAGUCAAGAGUGAGUGCACCUUACAUGCCUCUAGCCAUAAGUGUAGGCUUUGAGGCUAUUUGUGAUAGUAGCUUAUUCUUCUAUCAUUCGUCGCCCGAUCAUACACACUUUACAGGUAAAUGUGUUUGCAUUUAUUGUUUCCCUAUUGCGCAUCACAUCAUCUGCUCCUUGCAUUUCCCGAUACCCACGUGUCACGCUCUUGUAGUUGACUGCUAUGUGGUGUGAUAAGACCAUAUUACCUCAGGUAAAAUUUCUACCCAUCUUGUCUUAGUCGUUCCUAACUUCUUUACCAAACCUGGUAAAAUUAAUUUAUUUGCUGCUUCUACUUGUCCGUUUGACUGAGGAUGCUCCACAAAUAUAAAUAUCCGUUGAAUCCCCAAAUCCUUACACAUGCGUCUUAACUUUUGACUUGCAAACUGUUUUCCAUUAUCUAACACUAGCUCCCUAGGCACACCAAAUCGGCAAACAAUUGAUUUCCACACAAACUUAGAAUUUAUUUUUUUGUUGUAAUCGUUGUUAAUAGCUCCACUUCUACCCAUUUGGUGAAGUAUUUAAUGGCCACCACUAUAAACUUGAAUUGUCGUAUGGACAUCGGGAAAGUACCCAAUAUGUCGAUUCCCCAUUUAUAAAAAGGCCAUGGGAAAAUUAACGAAUACAAACGUUCUGCUGGGACCUUUAUCUCAUUUGAGUGUCGCUAACAUUUAUCACACUUCUUCUCAUACCAUAAACAGUUAUUUCUUAACGUAGACAAGAAAAACCCCGCCCUUAACACUUUUACUGCCAAGGAUCGACCUCCAAUAUGCCUAACGCAAACACCUUCAUGAACUUCAUGCAUUAUCCUUUCUUUUUUCAGCUCGCCGACACACCUCAAUAGUGGUGUCAAACUCCUUGGAUUAGAGUAUAUCUUGCCACAUUAUUCCUCAAAGUAUUCACUGCUUCACUGUCUGUUGGCUCCUUCCCUUCUCUAAACCAGUUUAAAUACAUAUCCAUCCAGUUAUGCUCACUAUGUACAUCCAUCAUCCUAUAUCCAUCCGGUCCUCCAUAAAUCGACUUUUGAGUCCUAAUAUUUUUAAUGUGGUCAUUCAGAUUUUGUUUCCCAUUGAAGGAGUCGAUUUUAGGGAACAUGUAAUUUUGCGGAAUCGACUCACUCAAAAUUUCCUUCGAAAAGGGCUGAAAAGCUGGUUCUACUUCCUCCUCCAAGCGGCCAUUCGUGUUGCGGUCAUCCAUCUGUCUCUGAAGCUCCUCGUUUCGCCUCUACAACUGCUCUUGCACCCUUAUUGAAUCCUCCAUCCUUAAUCUUGCCUCCUCAUGUGUCCUUCGAAAUUCCUCCGCACGCUCAUCAUUUUGUCUUCUCAUUAUCUCGAUCAUUUCCAUCAAUAUCUGGGUUGUAUUGGACGGAAGGGCUCCAUUCGCCUCUUCCUAUGCUACCACUCGUCGUGUUGCUCUCAUUCUGUUUUGAAUCCUGAAUUUGAUGGUGCGGGUGUGAUUUUAUUUGUCCCACGGUGGGUGCCAAAAUGUUUCAGACAAGAGGGGUAAAGGUAUAGGCGACCUUAAGCCCAUAACACUCAAUAUAGUCAAGAGUGAGUGCACCCUUAACUAUUAUUUAAAAGAUGUUGCUUCUUGUUAGGGCCUCCUCUAGUAUAUAUUGAUAGAAUCCACCAUAAUCCUCCUGAUUCUGCAUUCCCUAACGUAUGUCAAAGUAACGUCAUAUUGCCUUGUGGUUCAGAAACCGAUCUUCUCAUUAUAUAGCCGAAUCUAGACUCAUCGCCCUACAUGCCCAGUCUCAGGUGUAAGCCAUUAAGACUAUUAUUAAGUUAUCAUUCGACCAAGUCUUCACUCAUUAUAUAAUCAGGUCCGGACCUAUCACCUUACAAUAAUCGUUUUGGAUUUUCUGUCUUAUAAAUCAUGCUUUAAAAUGUAUAUGGAAAAGAUAAAAAAUAAUUAAGAAUUUGAUUUUUCAAAAGUGACUUAUUGCUACUAAUUAUUUUUUGUCAAACAUAAUUAUUAACAUUGACUUGGAUAAUAAGGUCAGACAAGGUGAACAUUUGUCUUUCAAUGUAGGUUAAUUAUCUCAUAUUUAAAGUGACUAAGGAUGAUAUUAGACUGCUAAAUUAAUUCAUUAUUCCAUCUCUUUUUCAUCUACUAUACUUAAAGAUGGAUUCAGAGUCUACCAGUUAGUCCUCCAAAAAUAAAUAAUAAAUAAAUAAAUAAAUUUAAAUAUAAUUUUUGUGAUCAAUACUGUAAUAAUUAAUGACUGGACACAUAAACAUGGGGUUAAUGAUUAGUUAAGCAUCCUUGACGUAACCUAAAGUGUUCUUUGGUAUGUCUGCGGAACACCACCAACAUUUCUGGUCAAUCAAGAUUCUAGUCAAAUGUUUUCCACAGUAAUACAAUGUUCAGAGCAUAAAAAAUUUCCCAAAGAUGUAUAGAAAACAUGUAUUGGUAUUUGAUAGAAGUUUCAGUGGUCCACAACUUAAGACCAAUUCCACCAUUAACAUUGGCAACUUUAGUAUUGGUUUGGUGAAGGUUAAUUGGAAAAAAAAAGCUUAAAAGUUACUAUGAUACAUUCUAAACUAAGAAGUGUUUAUGGCCGAAGUGGUAGGACUUUGGGCAAAGCCUCCAAACCAGACAGUGACAGAGUCUGAAGCUUGCAAUCAGAGGUAAUGAAGGGAGAAUUGUUCUCCAUUGAUACUUUGCUGAUCAAGUGCAGCAAAACUUGUUCAAGUUCUUCUCCAUCACUCCAUCCAUGAAUCUCAGCCUUAACAAGUGAAGGGUCUCUGCAUAUCAAGUCCCACACUGGAAAGUUCUUCCUUGGCAUCAUAAAGUCCUUCUCUUUCAGCCUCAAACUUGGGCAAUAGUCUCCACUCCCAUCUCCAAGAUAGAUCAACCUCUUAUCCUCUUCUGAUAUUGAAUCUUGCAUCCUCUUUAUCACUAAACCCUGCAAUCAUUCAAAUCAAAUAACAUUUUACAAUCAUAACAUAAUUGAACAUAAUUUUUUAUUUAUUAUGAACUAUAUUGGUGGGGCCUAGGUCAAAAUUGUUCUUUAUUUUAUAUUUCAAUCAAAUCCAGUAGGCUCAUAUCAGAGAGAAAACCAGGAUGGCAUGUUUGGUUGGUUAAGAAAAAAUUUGGUAUUUUUUAAGGCCAAAAAUUCAGGAGACAAGUUCCAUAUCUAUAGGAUCAAUUCAUGACUCAUGAACACUUGAGUAACGUUAGCAGCAAUCUUUAUGAUUAAAAAUGGAAAUAAUAGUAUCCCAUCAGCUAGAGCCAGUUAAGAUCAACUUGAAAACAAUAUCUAGAAACGUGUAUUGUUGCCAACUGUUGUAUGCAUUUAAGCAAAUUUUUCGUCAUGAUUUAGACAAAUGAUAAAACAAGAUAGAAAAAGAAGUUGUG
rnacentral:lncRNA from 1 species